rfam:Rattus norvegicus chromosome 4, whole genome shotgun sequence.
GGGGAUUUAGCUCAGUGGUAGAGCGCUUGCCUAGCAAGCACAAGGCCCUGGGUUCGGUCCCCAGCUCCCG